GAUGAACGCUGGCGGCGUGCCUAAUACAUGCAAGUCGAGCGAACAGACGAGAAGCUUGCUCCUCUGAUGUUAGCGGCGGACGGGUGAGUAACACGUGGAUAACCUACCUAUAAGACUGGGAUAACUUCGGGAAACCGGAGCUAAUACCGGAUAAUAUUUUGAACCGCAUGGUUCAAAAGUGAAAGACGGUCUUGCUGUCACUUAUAGAUGGAUCCGCGCUGCAUUAGCUAGUUGGUAAGGUAACGGCUUACCAAGGCAACGAUGCAUAGCCGACCUGAGAGGGUGAUCGGCCACACUGGAACUGAGACACGGUCCAGACUCCUACGGGAGGCAGCAGUAGGGAAUCUUCCGCAAUGGGCGAAAGCCUGACGGAGCAACGCCGCGUGAGUGAUGAAGGUCUUCGGAUCGUAAAACUCUGUUAUUAGGGAAGAACAAAUGUGUAAGUAACUAUGCACAUCUUGACGGUACCUAAUCAGAAAGCCACGGCUAACUACGUG
rnacentral:rRNA from 1 species